rfam:Muricauda antarctica strain CGMCC 1.12174 genome assembly, contig: Ga0079848_102
GGGGCCGACCGGUUUUGACAGCAAGACCAAUGGCGAUGUAAGCAUGCCGAGCUAUGGAAUUGACGCUCGUUAAUCUCCGUUCCAACCUUUUACAUGGCGAGUCUAACUACGCUUUGGCUGCCUAAUUGACUGAAUCACAGUAAGUCAUGGCCUAGUCCCGCAAGGCGGGAAAGCUGAAUGUCCCUUGGUAGCCCUUGUUGAUGGCGACCUUUAUUGGGGCACCAUAAAAGUCAACAUAGCGAUCUUAUAGCUUCGUUAAGAUCGUAAAACUAAAGAAGCUAAGCGUACGAUAGGCGGUUUUCGGUCGGUCGUGCGUCGACAAUCAAACGAAGACUAAGCGUGUAGAAAGCAUGGUUAUUGCUUGUUUGGACGAGGGUUCGAAUCCCUCCGGCUCCACUA